GCCUUCGUGGUGUAAUGGUCAGCACACUGAGCCGGUAUUUCAGAGGUCCGCGGUUCGAUUCCCGACGAAGGAA
rfam:Stegodyphus mimosarum contig94572, whole genome shotgun sequence.